rnacentral:rRNA from 1 species
UACGUAGGGCGCAAGCGUUAUCCGGAAUUAUUGGGCGUAAAGAGCGUGUAGGCGGCUCGGUAAGUCCGCUGUGAAAGUCCAGGGCUCAACCCUGGAAUGCCGGUGGAAACUGUCGAGCUAGAGUCCGGAAGAGGCGAGUGGAAUUCCUGGUGUAGCGGUGAAAUGCGCAGAUAUCAGGAGGAACACCAAUGGCGAAGGCAGCUCGCUGGGACGGUACUGACGCUGAGACGCGAAAGCGUGGGGAGCAAACAGG